GACGAACGCUGGCGGCGUGCCUAACACAUGCAAGUCGAGCGGGGUUGAGGCGAGAGGUAACUCGAGCUUCUACCUAGCGGCGGACGGGUGAGUAACGCGUGGGCAACCUGCCUCAAGGUUUGGGAUAACAGCCCGAAAGGGCUGCUAAUGCCGGAUAUGCCUAUGGCCUCGCAUGGGGCUAUGAGCAAAGGGGAAACCCGCCUUGAGAUGGGCCCGCGUCCCAUCAGCUAGUUGGUGAGGUAACGGCCCACCAAGGCGACGAUGGGUAGCCGGCCUGAGAGGGUGAACGGCCACACUGGGACUGAGACACGGCCCAGACUCCUACGGGAGGCAGCAGUUGGGAAUCUUCGGCAAUGGGCGCAAGCCUGACCGAGCAACGCCGCGUGAGUGAUGAAGGCCUUCGGUCGUAACCGCUGUUGUGGGAGACGAAUGACUGUCGAUGAGGCAGUGGAGACGGUAUCUCACGAGGAAGCCCCGGCUAACUACGUGCC
rnacentral:rRNA from 1 species